UACAGAGGUCUCAAGCGUUGUUCGGAUUCAUUGGGCGUAAAGGGUGCGUAGGUGGCGCGCUAAGUCAGGUGUGAAAUUUCGGAGCUUAACUCCGAAACUGCAUUUGAUACUGGCGUGCUUGAGGACUGGAGAGGAGACUGGAAUUCACGGUGUAGCAGUGAAAUGCGUAGAUAUCGUGAGGAGACCAGUGGCGAAGGCGGGUCUCUGGACAAUUCCUGACACUGAGGC
rnacentral:rRNA from 1 species